AAUAGAUACCCGGGUAGUCCACGCCGUAAACGAUGAGUGCUAAGUGUUAGAGGGUUUCCGCCCUUUAGUGCUGCAGCUAACGCAUUAAGCACUCCGCCUGGGGAGUACGGCCGCAAGGCUGAAACUCAAAGGAAUUGACGGGGGCCCGCACAAGCGGUGGAGCAUGUGGUUUAAUUCGAAGCAACGCGAAGAACCUUACCAGGUCUUGACAUCCUCUGCCAACCCUAGAGAUAGGGCGUUCCCCUUCGGGGGACAGAGUGACAGGUGGUGCAUGGUUGUCGUCAGCUCGUGUCGUGAGAUGUUGGGUUAAGUCCCGCAACGAGCGCAACCCUUGAUCUUAGUUGCCAGCAUUCAGUUGGGCACUCUAAGGUGACUGCCGGUGACAAACCGGAGGAAGGUGGGGAUGACGUCAAAUCAUCAUGCCCCUCAUGACCUGGGCUACACACGUGCUACAAUGGAUGGUACAAAGAGUUGCGAACCCGCGAGGGUAAGCGAAUCUCAUAAAGCCAUUCUCAGUUCGGA
rnacentral:rRNA from 1 species